rnacentral:rRNA from 1 species
GACGAACGCUGGCGGCGUGCUUAACACAUGCAAGUCGAACGGUGACGGAGAGCUUGCUCUCCUGAUCAGUGGCGAACGGGUGAGUAACACGUGGGCAACCUGCCCCAGACUUCGGGAUAACGCUUCGAAAGAGGUGCUAAUACCGAAUACGAACGCCGUGGGCAUCCACGGUGUUGGAAAGUUUUUCGGUCUGGGAUGGGCCCGCGGCCUAUCAGCUUGUUGGUGAGGUAAUGGCUCACCAAGGCGACGACGGGUAGCCGGCCUGAGAGGGCGACCGGCCACACUGGGACUGAGACACGGCCCAGACUCCUACGGGAGGCAGCAGUGGGGAAUAUUGCGCAAUGGGCGAAAGCGUGACGCAGCAACACCGCGUGAGGGAAGACGGCCUUAGGGUUGUAAACCUCUUUCAGAUGGGACGAAGGUGAUGCGGUGAAUAGCCGAUGUCAUUGACGGUACCGUCAGAAGAAGCUCCGGCUAACUACGUGCCAGCAGCCGCGGUAAU